rnacentral:lncRNA from 1 species
CUACCGUGCUCAUUUUGCCAAAAAAUUUGGAACUAAACAAGGCCUCAAUGUGCAUCAGGAGGACGUUAUCCAUCGGAUGGAUGUGCUGAAUCCUCAGGUAUAUUGGCUAUAUCAUCAUGUUUGCGCUUUGUACUAUAUUUGAUAUUAAAUUAAUAGUUCGAUUUUAAAUUCAUUCCUUUCUGCGUUUACCUUCUUCGUCUGCAGACGAUGAACCAGUGCCAGCUGCUCCCAUCAUGUUGCAGAGUCUUAUGGGCAAGGUCACUACAAAAACCUCUCCGAGUCUGAAAGGCAGUACUUCGCUAAUCCGAAUACAUUUAUUGCUAAAGCUUCUUUACAACUCGAUAGAUCCGUUGUUAAGCAGUACUUUUGACAGGACAAUCGUGCUGUAAGAGCAUCUUUAAGGGACUUUGCACAUGAAUUUUGCAUUUGGUGUUGUUUGCAAAAUCUCAAACUCAUUUGCAAAGUCUAAAAAUAGUCCAACUCCAAAAGACUUUGCAUUUAGACUUGCAAACCCAAAGUGUGGAUCCCACCUCUAAUUUUUUUUUACCGAUCGCGCCCGCGCGUUUUUUCCCUUUGCGCCAUUUUGACGUACGUCGUGCGUGUCAGUCGCCGCCGAGGCCAGGUCGCCGCU